CGCCCGGCCAGGGUGGAGGCGGGUGCGGCGACCCGGCCGGCUCCUAGAGGCGCAGCGGGAGAGGAAGUGUCAGUUUGUGAACCUGCAGCGGCCCCGGCCUGGCCCCUGGCCGGGCGGGCGGGGACCUCGCAGCGCCGGGCGAGCCAGGUGGCAGGGAGAGGACAGGGAUUCAGACCGCAUCCCCUGCCCGGGAGCCUGUGCGCUCUGCGCUGGAGAAAAAGGAGAUGGGAGUGGGGGUGGAGAAGGUCGUGGCCACGCCACCAUCUGGGGAGCCGAGACCCCUGCAGUGCCUGGCUCGCCCCAGGGCCCCGCACAUACUUAGCUUCACACACUCCCUGGCACAAUGCCGUAGACAUCAUCCUGCCCAGUCUCACAGGAGUACACACACGCACCACACAGAAACAGGCACUGGACUCUCUCCCUGUGAACAGAUAGUCACAACACCAGGUGCCCAGCGCCAUGGCCACAAGGAGGAGACCCGAGUAGGCCCGCGGGGAAAGAGAGAGGCUGUGUGUGGCUGUAGUGGAGAGCAUGUGGAGGGACUUGGAGCCAGUGUCAGGGGAAGCUGAUGGAGAAUCGAGCUCUGGAUCCAGGGACUCGGGACUCCUAUGGUGCCACCAGCCACCUCCCCAACAAGGGGGCCCUGGCGAAGGUCAAGAACAACUUCAAAGACUUGAUGUCCAAACUGACGGAGGGCCAGUAUGUGCUGUGCCGGUGGACAGAUGGCCUGUACUACCUCGGGAAGAUCAAGAGGGUCAGCAGCUCUAAGCAAAGCUGCCUCGUGACUUUCGAAGAUAAUUCCAAAUACUGGGUCCUAUGGAAGGACAUACAGCAUGCCGGUGUUCCAGGAGAGGAGCCCAAGUGCAACAUCUGCCUAGGGAAGACAUC
rnacentral:lncRNA from 1 species